UUGGCUUAGUGGUAACACUGAAUGGCAUUGACCCAUAUGCGCCUGGUUCGAUUCCCCCUGGGUGCAAAAUUGAAAUUUUUUCUCAAAUAAAUUAAAAAAAGCAAAAAACGAAAAAAAAAAUAAAAAAAUCGGUCCCGCCAUUUGAAAUGGCCCAAAAAAAACAAAAAAAAAAAAAGCUGCCCUGUCAGAUCGUGACACGUGUCGGACCGGCGGCCAGUCCUGCC
rnacentral:lncRNA from 1 species